rnacentral:sRNA from 1 species
AACUAAAUUAUUAAAACCGAAGAAUAAUUUGAAAACACAAUGAAGCAGUGAGAACAA